UCAAGCUGUACUAUCUAAUUAUGUUGUAAUAGCUAAACAUUGAGUUUACUCUAACACAGGAGUUUAGGGAAGCUAGUUUUACGGAUUGUAUUGCCCUAGAAAAAAGUACUAAAUUUGAACAGUAUAGGCGACUGAGUCGGGAUUUUCAUUUACCAUUGGGAAAUAUUUUUUUGGAAAAAGCUUAACUAGUUUUGGAAAAUAACAGGCGGUAAAAAAUGCCAUGUAUAUGUAGUCCUCGGAGGAAUAUGAAAUCAAAUUUUUAAUAAAUCGGUACUUCACUAACAACGUUAGAGAACCUGUUUAAAUGUAUUUGCUUUAAUGCCGUUCUUUCAUACUUUACCCAUUCGUAACUUACAUAUAGCCUUUU